AAGUACAGCGUGGGGGAGGCAGUGUCCUCUGCAGCAAGGUCUACUUGCUGGCGACCUCACCAUCACCAACCCAUCUGCAGAUGAAGAUAGAAAAUAUUUGUUAUAUUCUUAUCCAAUUAGUUCACACCAUUGUUGUGAGCAACAGAAGAUUCAGAACUUUCAAGCUCCUUUUUUUCUUGCUAGCCAUGAAGGUGAUACUUUAGUAAAAGAUGGUCUGAAAACCAAGAUAUGCCAGAGAUAAUAACUAUAGUGGCUGCUCCAGAUGGACUAAGAAUGGGACCAUAUCCUAGGCCUACAUGCUAAUAUUGUACACCAAUGAAUGCUUCACUUAUUUAUACUUAUAAUCAGAUGUGUAAUGAUAAACGCGAUAUUAGCUUUUGUACCCAUCUUCAUGGUUGAAAUACUUUUCUGCAACCCGUGACACAUUUGCUUCA